AAUAGAUACCCGGGUAGUCCACGCCGUAAACGAUGUCGACUUGGAGGUUGUUCCCUUGAGGAGUGGCUUCCGGAGCUAACGCGUUAAGUCGACCGCCUGGGGAGUACGGCCGCAAGGUUAAAACUCAAAUGAAUUGACGGGGGCCCGCACAAGCGGUGGAGCAUGUGGUUUAAUUCGAUGCAACGCGAAGAACCUUACCUACUCUUGACAUCCAGAGAACUUAGCAGAGAUGCUUUGGUGCCUUCGGGAACUCUGAGACAGGUGCUGCAUGGCUGUCGUCAGCUCGUGUUGUGAAAUGUUGGGUUAAGUCCCGCAACGAGCGCAACCCUUAUCCUUUGUUGCCAGCGGUUCCGGCCGGGAACUCAAAGGAGACUGCCAGUGAUAAACUGGAGGAAGGUGGGGAUGACGUCAAGUCAUCAUGGCCCUUACGAGUAGGGCUACACACGUGCUACAAUGGCGCAUACAAAGAGAAGCGACCUCGCGAGAGCAAGCGGACCUCAUAAAGUGCGUCGUAGUCCGGA
rnacentral:rRNA from 1 species